rnacentral:sRNA from 1 species
ACACACCACCCACACACACCACCACGCCCUGUCCCCUUUCUCCACCCUGCAAGCUAGUUGCAUUUACCUCACAGAGCCUGGGCUGCGACUUGAAAGACUUUAGGCAGCAACAGAGUGACCCUGGGGGUGCUCUUGACCGACAGCCGCACCUCCGGCGUCUAGGACCUCCGAGCAGGGAUGCAUCUGGGGGUCUAGGGAAGCACUUCCACCCCCUCCUCUCCUCAACCCUGGCAGGAUGGCUACCGCUGCUUCAAGACAGUGACGUUUCUCUCCGGUCAGCUGUCAGGAGCGCUGCUGGGUCUUACUGGGGAUCUGGCCAGCCUUGGGGACCCUUGGGGCCCUGGCCCAGUGGAAGCUUGUGCCUGAGGAACAUGGAGGCCACGCCAAUGAGUUACUUCCAGAGUCUUCAAGAGUGCCAACUGGGACCAGGACCCCAGGCCACAGCCCCCCACACCGUCCUGGACCUGGAUUCUGACUGUGGUUCCACUGUACCCCUCACCUUAAUCUCUGGUUCUAACCAGACCUGAGCCUAGACUUCCACUUUUUCCUUCACCCCUGUGAGGGCCUGGGAACACUAGGUGGGCAG